UACGGGGGGGGCAAGCGUUGUUCGGAAUUACUGGGCGUAAAGGGCUCGUAGGUGGCCAACUAAGUCAGACGUGAAAUCCCUCGGCUUAACCGGGGAACUGCGUCUGAUACUGGAUGGCUUGAGUUUGGGAGAGGGAUGCGGAAUUCCAGGUGUAGCGGUGAAAUGCGUAGAUAUCUGGAGGAACACCGGUGGCGAAGGCGGCAUCCUGGACCAACACUGACGCUGAGGAGCGAAAGCCAGGGGAGCAAAGCGGG
rnacentral:rRNA from 1 species